GCGUGUGUGAAGAAGGCCUUAGGGUUGUAAAACACUUUCAACUGUGAAGAUGAUGACAGUAGCAGUAGAAGAAGCUCCGGCUAACUCCGUGCCAGCAGCCGCGGUAAUACGGAGGGAGCUAGCGUUGUUCGGAAUUACUGGGCGUAAAGAGCACGUAGGCGGCUAGAUGCGUCAGGGGUGAAAUCCCGGGGCUUAACCUCGGAACUGCCUUUGAUACGGUUUAGCUAGAAUAUCGUAGAGGUUAGUGGAAUUCCAAGUGUAGAGGUGAAAUUCGU
rnacentral:rRNA from 1 species